ensembl:lncRNA novel transcript
AGUCCACGUUGGGAGCCUGCAGCGCUUCCGGGUCCGUGACGACCCCGCCGGGCACGAUGCGCUCAAAGGCGGCCAGGUCCUGCUUAGACACCGUGGAGAACGGCAAGCGCCGCACGGGGUAGCGCUCCCGGGUCAGCGGCACCUCGGGGGUCCCCGGGGCGGAGCAGCAGCCUCUGCGGGCCAGGGGGCCAACCGGCCGACCCCAAGAACCCGCGGCUCCCGGAGCACCCCGCAACAGCCACGCGGGCCACGCCAGAGGCCGACGGGGCAGCAUCGCCGCCGGGACGGAGACCUCGGGCUCCUCCUUGGUGGGGGGCCGGUACUCAGGGCCCGGAGGGGAAGGGCAGGGAGCCGCUGGCUGCGCGCCUGGAAGUGGCCAAGGGCACCGACUGGCUGACGGCGCCCGAGAUCGCGCCCCGCCACCCCGACCCGCGGCUGAACCGCAGACCGGGACCCUCAGCCCAGCGCUCCG